AACGUAGGAGGCGAGCGUUAUCCGGAGUUACUGGGCGUAAAGAGCGUGUAGGCGGCCAGGUAGGUCGGUUGUGAAAACUGGAGGCUCAACCUUCAGACGUCGACCGAAACCCCCUGGCUAGAGUCCGGGAGAGGAGAGUGGAAUUCCUGGUGUAGCGGUGAAAUGCGCAGAUAUCAGGAAGAACACCCGUGGCGAAAGCGGCUCUCUGGAACGGUACUGACGCUGAGACGCGAAAGCGUGGGGAGCGAACAGG
rnacentral:rRNA from 1 species